CCUACGGGUUGCAGCAGUGGGGAAUAUUGCACAAUGGGCGCAAGCCUGAUGCAGCCAUGCCGCGUGUAUGAAGAAGGCCUUCGGGUUGUAAAGCACUUUUGGCAGGAAAGAAACGUCAUGGGUUAAUACCCCGUGAAACUGACGGUACCUGCAGAAUAAGCACCGGCUAACUACGUGCCAGCAGCCGCGGUAAUACGUAGGGUGCAAGCGUUAAUCGGAAUUACUGGGCGUAAAGCGUGCGCAGGCGGUUCGGAAAGAAAGAUGUGAAAUCCCAGAGCUUAACUUUGGAACUGCAUUUUUAACUACCGGGCUAGAGUGUGUCAGAGGGAGGUGGAAUUCCGCGUGUAGCAGUGAAAUGCGUAGAUAUGCGGAGGAACACCGAUGGCGAAGGCAGCCUCCUGGGAUAACACUGACGCUCAUGCACGAAAGCGUGGGGAGCAAACAGGAUUAGAUACCCGUGUAGUC
rnacentral:rRNA from 1 species